rnacentral:lncRNA from 1 species
CUUUGCUGCCAGUCAAAUUUGGGGAAAGCUCAUUGUUCUCUGACUUACAGCUCUUUCCACCACUGUGUGCUCCAGUUUCCAAGAUUUGCUUUUUUUCUCUGGUCUCGGUAACUUGUCUCUCCCCCUUGCCAGAUUUUCCCGGGCAUCUAAAGUCUUGCCCCAGUCCUCAGUGACUGCAGCCUCUCUGCCUGAUCUGCAGAUUGAUUUUUACGAUAAAGCCCACCUGACUCAAGGGCCAUUCAUCCAGGGUUCCUGGCUCCUGCGCUGCUGCCUGAGAGAGACCUGUUGAUCACAUAGACGAGGCCACCACGCUUUACAUACAAGGCCAGGUGACACAAAGCCAGCAGUUAAGGGAAGCAGAAAGACUCCACGGGCCAGGCUGGGUGUCAGCAUCAGGAAACCAUUAGAAGGCAAAGAGGGAAGUAAAACCCAGUGGGAGAGGCCCUUCUUGUCCAGAGGGAUCUCCUACAGAAAC